AGAGGCUUUUGGUGAACUGAUAAAUUGGAGGGCAGAGGAAGGAAGAGUCUGGAAACGUUUGAAAAAAGUCUGGAAAUUAUGGGAUGGAAAGGAUGGAUUCACACCUCCAGGGAAAAAACCAGAGUCCAAAAGAAAAAAAAAUAUAUAGGUGUAGACGUCAAAACGAUUCAUAUUUCCAAUAUCCACAAUCCUUCACAUUUUAUUCCGAAGGUCUAAAGACUUAGCUUUUUAAAAGGAAGGCAUAAUUCUGAUGCAAAAAGGAAGGGUGGUAUUUUUGUCAAGGCGGAAAGCACUGUGUCUAGUUUUGGUGACAAGGUAAUCUUUGGAAGUGGGACUAGGCUGGCCGUAAUGCCAAAUCUCGCGAAUUCAAAUCCUUCUGUCUACCAGCUGAAGCCCAAAGAAAAAGAAAGCAACUUAGCCGCUUGCCUCAUUACUGACUAUUCACCAGGUCCCAUCGACGUGAAGUUUAAUAGUAGUUUGGCACCUGAAGCAGUCAAUGACUCUGCCGUGGUUGUGAAAGAAGACGGCAAUAAAGAAUCGGCCAGUCUUGGAGUUGUCAUUUGGAGCAAAAAUAAGAAUCAGUUUCAAUGCUCUGCUAUUCACCGAGGCGACACCUACAAAGCUGAAAAAGAAGGGGAUGCUACGUGUUCAGAAACUCUGUCCGAUACACCAGUUUUCGAAACAGACGAAAAUUUGAAUCUUCUCUCUCUCACUGUAUUGGGGCUGAGAUUGAUAUUUUUCAAGAGCGUUGCUCUCAACCUAAUACUCACCUUCUGGGCAUGGUCAAGAUGAGGAAUGAAAGAAAAAUGGGGGAACGUAACUGGAAUGUUGUGGAAGAAUCAUCUAGGACUUCAAUAUUUGACUGGAUAGAAACAUACUACCAGCUUUCCCGAUUGCCUUCUUGGAUUUUUUAAACAAAACAGCUUCACUUUUUAAAUCUUUCGUGGAUCAGCUUUUAAAAACAUCUACGCAGCUUAUCAACCCAACUUCUUGCAUUGUUCUAAUGUACUAUACCGUCUUCUGAAUAUUGUGUAUUAAAACAUUUACAGUGUAAUAAAAAUGCAUAUUGGAAUGUG